rnacentral:rRNA from 1 species
GGAAACGACUGCUAAUACCGCAUAAGACCACAGUACCGCAUGGUACAGUGAUCAAAGGAUUUAUUCGCUGAAGGAUGGCUUCGCGUCCGAUUAGGUAGUUGGUGAGGUAACGGCCCACCAAGCCUACGAUCGGUAGCCGGACUGAGAGGUUGAUCGGCCACAUUGGGACUGAGACACGGCCCAGACUCCUACGGGAGGCAGCAUG